AAGUCGUAACAAGGUUUCCGUAGGUGAACCUGCGGAAGGAUCAUUAUCGAAAUUAAGUGGGGAGUUGAUGCUGGCAGUCCUUGCAUGUGCUCACUCUCUUUUUAAUCCACUUUCACAUGUGCACUUGAUUUUCCCCAAGGCCUCUGUGCCCUUGGACUUACAAACUCUUAUUUAAUGUUAACCGAAUGUUUAUCUGCCGAAAGGCAAAGUCUUAUACAACUUUUAACAACGGAUCUCUUGGCUCUC
rnacentral:misc_RNA from 1 species